rnacentral:rRNA from 1 species
UACGUAGGGUGCAAGCGUUGUCCGGAAUUACUGGGUGUAAAGGGUCCGCAGGCGGGCAAGCAAGUCGGUGGUGAAAUCUCACGGCUCAACCGUGAAACUGCCAUUGAUACUGCUUGUCUUGAGUUCGAGAGAGGAUAAUGGAAUUCAUGGUGUAGCAGUGAAAUGCGUAGAGAUCAUGAAGAACACCAGUAGCGAAGGCGGUUAUCUGGCUCGAAACUGACGCUCAGGGACGAAAGCAUGGGUAGCAAACAGG